rnacentral:rRNA from 1 species
AACUGAUGGCGACCGGCGCACGGGUGAGUAACACGUAUCCAACCUGCCCUUUACUCGGGGAUAGCCUUUCGAAAGAAAGAUUAAUACCCGAUAGCAUAAUGAUUCCGCAUGGUUUCAUUAUUAAAGGAUUCCGGUAAAGGAUGGGGAUGCGUUCCAUUAGGUUGUUGGUGAGGUAACGGCUCACCAAGCCUUCGAUGGAUAGGGGUUCUGAGAGGAAGGUCCCCCACAUUGGAACUGAGACACGGUCCAA